rnacentral:rRNA from 1 species
GCACCGGCUAACUCCGUGCCAGCAGCCGCGGUAAUACGGAGGGUGCGAGCGUUAAUCGGAAUUACUGGGCGUAAAGGGUGCGUAGGUGGUUGAUUAAGUUAUCUGUGAAAUYCCUGGGCUUAACCUGGGRAGGUCAGAUAAGACUGUUUGACUCGAGUAUGGGAGAGGGUAGUGGAAUUUCCGGUGUAGCGGUGAAAUGCGUAGAGAUCGGAAGGAACACCAGUGGCGAAGGCGGCUACCUGGCCUAAUACUGACACUGAGGCACGAAAGCGUGGGGAGCAAACAGGAUUAGAUACCCUGGUAGUCCACGCYGUAAA